rnacentral:rRNA from 1 species
AUUGAACGCUGGCGGUAUGCCUUACACAUGCAAGUCGAACGGUAGAGGGGCAACCCUUGAGAGUGGCGAACGGGUGAGUAAUACAUCGGAACGUGCCCAGUCGUGGGGGAUAACGUAGCGAAAGCUACGCUAAUACCGCAUACGACCUGAGGGUGAAAGCGGGGGAUCGCAAGACCUCGCGCGAUUGGAGCGGCCGAUGUCAGAUUAGCUAGUUGGUAGGGUAAAGGCCUACCAAGGCGACGAUCCGUAGCUGGUCUGAGAGGAUGAUCAGCCACACUGGAACUGAGACACGGUCCAGACUCCUACGGGAGGCAGCAGUGGGGAAUAUUGGACAAUGGGCGCAAGCCUGAUCCAGCCAUACCGCGUGGGUGAAGAAGGCCUUCGGGUUGUAAAGCCCUUUUGUUGGGAAAGAAAUCCAUCUGGUUAAUACCCGGGUGGGAUGACGGUACCCAAAGAAUAAGCACCGGCUAACUUCGUGCCAGCAGCCGCCGUAA